GCGCGUGCGCGAAGCGGCAUGAAGCCUUCUGGGCGUUCCGAGCGAGGCGGUGCAUUUCCGCGCGUCGUUCUUAUCCCAGAGGAGGAAAAGAGCUGAAGAUAAAGAGAGAGAAAAAUGGAGGACACAGCAGGAUUUCAGCAUUGUUAAAACCUGAGGUACUGGGACAUAU